GAUGAACGCUGGCGGCGUGCCUAAUACAUGCCAGUCGAGCGAACGGACGAGAAGCUUGCUUCUCUGAUGUUAGCGGCGGACGGGUGAGUAACACGUGGAUAACCUACCUAUAAGACGGGGAUAACUUCGGGAAACCGUAGCUAAUACCGGAUAAUAUUUUGAACCGCAUGGUUCAAAAGUGAAAGACGGUCUUGCUGUCACUUAUAGAUGGAUCCGCGCUGCAUUAGCUAGUUGGUAAGGUAACGGCUUACCAAGGCAACGAUGCAUAGCCGACCUGAGAGGGUGGUCGGCCACACGGGAGCUGAGACACGGUCCAGACUCCUACGGGAGGCAGCAGUAGGGAAUCGUCCGCAGUGGGCGAAAGCCUGACGGAGCAACGCCGCGUGAGUUAUGAAGGUCUUCGGAUCGUAAAACUCUGUUAUUAGGGAAGAACAUAUGUGUAAGUAACUGUGCACAUCUUGACGGUACCUAAUCAGAAAGCCACGGCUAACUACGUG
rnacentral:rRNA from 1 species